ensembl:antisense Gm13596 predicted gene 13596
CAGAUGAGAACACCGGCAGUGGAAAGACCGACAGCAAAGCCAUGGCCAUAAUCAGAAUAACAUCAGAAUGGAAUUGGAAGAGAUUUGAUUGCUCACUGCUGUCUCCUUGAAGAAUCUCAAACAGGAGUUCAUGCAUUAGGUAUAAAAUAAUGCUUUCUGAAGCUAUGUUGUUCAUCCUUCUCAUCUUUAGAAUCUUCCAAAUGCUGAAGAUAUCCCAAAGCCUUUACUUCAUCUCCAUUCAAAAUUACUUUCACUCCCCCCCAAAAAAAAAGUAUUUCUCAACCUUGAUUG